rnacentral:rRNA from 1 species
GUGGGGAAUAUUGGUCAAUGGGCGAAAGCCUGAUCCAGCCAUGCCGCGUGUGUGAAGAAGGUCUUCGGAUUGUAAAGCACUUUAAGUUGGGAGGAAGGGCAGUAAGUUAAUACCUUGCUGUUUUGACGUUACCGACAGAAUAAGCACCGGCUAACUUCGUGCCAGCAGCCGCGGUAAUACGAAGGGUGCAAGCGUUAAUCGGAAUUACUGGGCGUAAAGCGCGCGUAGGUGGUUCAGCAAGUUGGAGGUAAAAUCACCGGGCUCAACCAGGAAACUGCCACCAAAACUACUGAGCUAGAGUACGGUAGAGGGUAGUGGAAUUUCCUGUGUAGCGGGGAAAUGCGUAGAUAUAGGAAGGAACCCCAGUGGCGGAGGCGACUACCUGGACUGAUACUGACACUGAGGUGCGAAAGCGUGGGGAGCAAACAGGAUUAGAAACCCGAGUAGUCC